CACGUAGGGGGCAAGCGUUUGUCCGGAUUUAUUGGGCGUAAAGAGCUCGUAGGCGGUGUGUCGCGUCGGCCGUGAAAACCUGGGGCUCAACUCUGGGCGUGCGGUCGAUACGGGCAUCACUUGAGUUCGGCAGGGGAGACUGGAAUUCCUGGUGUAGCGGUGAAAUGCGCAGAUAUCAGGAAGAACACCCGUGGCGAAGGCGGCUUUCUGGGACGGUACUGACGCUGAGACGCGAAAGCGUGGGGAGCGAACAGG
rnacentral:rRNA from 1 species